rnacentral:lncRNA from 1 species
GUAACCCACCCGGUGUGGCCGUGCCCCCCAGGGGGUGACGGUGCUGCAGGUGUUGUGGGGUGACCCCAUGGGUGACACUGUGGGUGGGGGGUGACCACAUGGGUGACCCCAUGGGUGUGGGGUGACGCUGUGGGUGACCCCUGGUGCGGCCGUGCCCCCCAGGUGGUGACGGGGCUGCAGUGGGUGUGGGGUGACGCCGUGGGUGACACUGUGGGUGGGGGGUGACCACAUGGGUGACCCCGUGGGUGUGGGGUGACCCCAUGGGUGACCCCCGGUGCCACCGUGCCCCCCAGGUGGUGAUGGGGCUGCAGUGGGUGUGGGGUGGUGUCCUGGGUGACCCUGUGGGUGUGGGGUGACCCUGUGGGUGUGGGGUGACCCCGUGGGUGGGGGGUGACCCCAUGGGUGACCCCGUGGGUGACCCCCGGGUGCUGCCGUGCCCCCCAGGUGGUGAUGGGGCUGCAGUGGGUGUGGGGUGGUGUCUUGGGUGACCCUGUGGGUGUGGGGUGACCCUGUGGGUGUGGGGUGACCCCGUGGGUGGGGGGUGACCCCGUGGGUGACCCCGUGGGUGACCCCCCCGGUGUGGCCGUGCCCCCCAGGUGGUGACGGGGCUGCAGUGGGCGCGCGCCGAGGGCAGCGGGGGGGUGCCGGUGUGGGUGGUGGUCCUGGCCGUGCUGCUGGGGCUGCUGCUGCUCGCCCUGCUCUGCUACGGCCUCUACAAGUUGGGCUUCUUCAAGCGCGCGGGGCCCUACGGCACGGCCAUGGAGAAGGCGCAGCUCAAGCCCCAGGCGGCCUCGGAGGCCUGAGGGGGCCCGCACCCCCGGGCACCCCCCGGGACGGGCACCCCCCGCACCGGGCACCCCCGCACCGGGCACCGCCGACACGCUGGGCACCCUCGGACGGGGGGGAGACAGACCCGGCCACCCCCGGGAUGGGCAUCGUCACCAGGAGGAGCAUCGUCACCGGGCUGGGGGCCACCGGGCCCGGCGUCACCACCCGACUGGGGACCACCCAACUGGGUGUCACCCAGUCUGGAAUCACCACCCCACGGGGUACCACCAUGCCCAGCAUCACCACCCAACUGGGUACCACAGGAUGGGCAUCACCACCGAGCUGGGUGUUACCCAGUCUGGAAUCACCACCCAACUGGAUACCACCAUGCCCGUCACCACCCCACUGGGUACCACCAUGCCCAGCAUCACCACCAGCCUCAGUACCAUCAUGCCCAGCAUCACGGGGUACCACCAUGCCCAGCAUCACCACCCAACUGGGUACCACAGGAUGGGCAUCACCACCGAGCUGGGUGUUACCCAGUCUGGAAUCACCACCCAACUGGAUACCACCAUGCCCAGCAUCACCAUCGGACUGGGUACCACUGGGAUGGGCAUCACCACCAAACUGGGUGUCACCGUGCCCGUCACCACCACCGGACUGGGUACCACCAUGCCCAGCAUCACCACCAGCCUCAGUACCACCAUACCCAGCAUCACCACCGGACUGGGUACCACUGGGAUGGGCAUCACCACCGGACUGGGUGUCACCCAGUCUGGAAUCACCACUGGACUGGGUACCCAGCAUCACCACCAAACUGGGUGUCACCCAGUCUGGAAUCACCACCAGACUGGUACCAUCAAGCCCAGCAUCACCACCGGAUUGGGUACCACCAGACUGGGGACAAUCGGGAUGGAUGUCACCACCAAACUGGGUGUCACCCGGUCUGGAAUUGCCACCGGACUGGGUACCAUCAUGCCCAGCAUCACCACCAGACUGGGGACCGCUGGGAUGGGCAUCACCACCAAACUGGUUGUCACCCAGUCUGGAAUCACCACCAGACUUGGGUACCCAGCAUCACCACCGGACUGGAUACCAUCAUGCCCAGCAUCACCACCGGACCCGGUACCACCGGGAUGGGCAUCACCACCGGACUGGGUGUCACCGGGGAGGCCACCACCAUCGGACUGGGUACCACUGGGAUGAGCAUCCCCACCGGACUGGGUGCCACCGGGACGGGCAUCACCGGCACAGGGGGGGUGUUGCCGAGCCAGACACCGCCGUGCCACGCGGCUACAGCCGGGGCACAACAAAGGGAGAGGGCACACGCAUGUGCCAGGAACGAGGCAGAGCACACGUGUGUGCCAGGCAUGAGGGGGAGCACACACGUGUGCCAGGCUGGGAAUGGAGAGAGCACACACGUGUGCCAGGCUGGGAAGGGAGAGGGCAUUGGGUACCACCAGACUGGGGACAAUCGGGAUGGAUGUCACCACCAAACUGGGUGUCACCCGGUCUGGAAUUGCCACCGGACUGGGUACCAUCAUGCCCAGCAUCACCACCAGACUGGGGACCGCUGGGAUGGGCAUCACCACCAAACUGGUUGUCACCCAGUCUGGAAUCACCACCAGACUUGGGACACACGCGUGUGCCAUGCUGGGCACAGAGGGGAGCACACACAUGUGUGCCAGGCUGGGAAGGGAGACGGCACACGCAUGUGCCAGGCACGAGAGGGAGCACACGUGUGCACCAAGCUGGGCAUGGGAGGGACACACGCGUGUGCCAUGCUGGGCACAGAGGGGAGCACACACAUGUGCCAGUCGGGUAUGGAUGGGGAGCACACACGUGUGCCAGGCACGAGGGGGAGCACACAGGUGUGCCAGGCUGGGUAUGAGGGGAGCACACACGUGUGCCAGGCAUGAUGGGGAGCACACGUGUGUGCCAAGCUGGGAAUGGAGAGAGAACAUGUGUGUGCCAGGCUGGGUAUGAGGAGAGCACAUGCGUGUGCCAGUCACAUAUGGAUGGGGAGCACACAUGCGUGCCAGGCAUGAGGGGGAGCACACAGGUGUGCCAGGCUGGGCAUGGGAGGGAGCACACAUGUGUGCCAGGCUGGGAAUGGAGAGAGCACACGCAUGUGCCAGGCUGAACAUGUGGGUACCCAGCAUCACCACCGGACUGGAUACCAUCAUGCCCAGCAUCACCACCGGACCCGGUACCACCGGGAUGGGCAUCACCACCGGACUGGGUGUCACCGGGGAGGCCACCACCAUCGGACUGGGUACCACUGGGAUGAGCAUCCCCACCGGACUGGGUGCCACCGGGACGGGCAUCACCGGCACAGGGGGGGUGUUGCCGAGCCAGACACCGCCGUGCCACGCGGCUACAGCCGGGGCACAACCCCUGCGCCGGGCACAACCGCCGUGAGCUGGCACAACCGCACGCUGGGCACCACCACAACCACCACACCAGGACACUGUCACCGUGCUGGUGUCACCCGCCGUGUGACUGCCACCACCGCCCCCCCCGGGCACCACCAGGGGGAGGGACAACACCCCGCCGGGUGUCACCGUGUCGUCACCGUCACCGCGCCGGGCACCGGUGCCAGCCCUGUCCCCC